rnacentral:ncRNA from 1 species
GGAAGCCGGUUCGAGUCCGGCACGGUCGCGCCACUGUGUGGGACACCGCCCGCCACUGCCGGCGUGUGUCCCGAGUCAGAC